AACGAACGCUGGCGGCAUGCUUAACACAUGCAAGUCGAGCGCCCCGCCAGGGGAGCGGCAGCCCGGUGAGUAACGCGUGGGGACGUACCAUUUGGUUCGGAACAACUCCGGGAAACUGGAGCUAAUACCGGAUAAGCCCGAACGGGGAAAGAGUUAUCGCGCAAAGAGCGGCUCGCGUCUGAUUCGCGAGUUGGUGAGGUAACGUCUCACCAAGGCGACGAUCAGUAGCUGGUCUGAGAGGAUGAGCACCCACACGGGCACUGGGACACGGUACAGACUCCUACGGGAGGGAGCAGUGGGGAAUAUUGCACAACGGGCGCAAGCCUGAUCCAGCCCUGCCGCGUGAGUGAUGAAGGCCUUAGGGUUGUAAAGCGCUUUUGUCCGGGAAGAUAAUGACUGUACCGGAAGAAUAAGCCCCGGCUAACUUCGUG
rnacentral:rRNA from 1 species